CAAAGUAAAAAGGGGGAACUGAGUUAGUAAGCACCAGUUGCCAUGUGAGUAGAGACCUGUUUGUGUCACAGAUCUUAGCAAAGAUCAAACCAGAGAUCAAAGACUUUGAUAAAAUAUGACUGAGCUUAGCAGCUCGUCACCUCUUCCCACAGCCGUGGGGAGUAGUUUGUGACUGUCUGCUGCCUGAGGUGCGCCUCGAACAGGGAGUCCACAUGAGAGCUGCUGGCUGGGACUGGGGUCAGCCUGGGUGGUAAUGAUGAUGAUCUGGGCUGAUAGAAGAGUGGGGAUGCCAGCUUCCAGCAGGAGUUAACAUAACAGAUACCAGGGUAUUAAAGCAGCCAAGCUGACUGUGAUCUCAGACAGAUGUGACAGCAGCUGGAGAAAGCUAUGGGAGCAAAACAAGCAGCAGUGGCUUCAAAGAGAGCUGAAAGAUUCCAGCUUUAUGUCCCUUCUCCAACAGGACAGCAGGGUCCCUAACACAAUGGCUGGCACAGAGAAAGUAUUUAUUACCUGAUAAGUGGUUUCGCUACCUCUACUACUACAACUACUGCUACCACUACUGUCACCAUCACUAGUACUGUCGGAGUCACAUUUUCUAGAUCCUCAACAGAGGAGUGCUACCCUGAUAAUCCUCAGUGUUCUGAGGGAAAGGACCAGGAACAGAGGCCUCCAACAAAGUUAAAUUGUGGGCCAUCUGGCUUCUGGACUGUGAAGAAAAUCCUCUUUCUGAACUUCAACUCAAUUCUGCUCUUUCUGCUUAUUUAUGGUAUUGUUAGAGGUCUGGGCUACAAAAGGGAGCAAAAAGGGAAUUCAGAGGACAUCCUAAUUAAAAACGAAAAUGGAUCAUCACACAAGUAG
rnacentral:lncRNA from 12 species